rnacentral:tRNA from 1 species
CAAAAUAUAGUUUAACUAAAACAUUUCAUUUACACUGAAAACAUGCUUGUUAAAAUCAAGACAUUUUGA